UACAGAGGGGGCAAGCGUUAUUCGGAAUUAUUGGGCGUAAAGGGCGCGUAGGCGGCUUUGCAAGUGACGGGUGAAAGCCCUCGGCUUAACCGAGGAACUGCCUGUCAGACUGUGAGGCUUGAGACCAGGAGAGGUGAGUGGAAUUCCCAGUGUAGCGGUGAAAUGCGUAGAUAUUGGGAGGAACACCAGUGGCGAAGGCGGCUCACUGGACUGGUACUGACGCUGAGGCGCGAAAGCCAGGGGAGCAAACGGG
rnacentral:rRNA from 1 species